CGCGUAGGCGGUCGGUAAGGUCUCAGGUGAAAGCCCCCAGCUCAACUGGGGAAGUGCCCGGGAUACCAGCCGACUCGAGGGGGGUAGGGGCGUGUGGAACUUCCGGUGGAGCGGUGAAAUGCGUAGAUAUCGGAAGGAACGCCGGUGGCGAAAGCGACACGCUGGACCCCUUCUGACGCUGAGGCGCGAAAGCCAGGGGAGCAAACG
rnacentral:rRNA from 1 species